GGCGAGAUGGCCGAGUGGUCUAAGGCGCCAGACUAAGGACUAGAGCAAUUGUUUGCUCAAACCUUCCUCUCUGAGGAAUCUGGUCCUCCGGGGCGUGGGUUCGAAUCCCACUUUCGUCA
rfam:Agaricus bisporus var. burnettii JB137-S8 unplaced genomic scaffold AGABI1scaffold_6, whole genome shotgun sequence.